rnacentral:rRNA from 1 species
GUAGGGAAUAUUGCGCAAUGGACGAAAGUCUGACGCAGCGACGCCGCGUGAGUGAUGAAGGCCUUAGGGUCGUAAAGCUCUGUUGAAUGGGAAGAAAAAAAUGACGGUACCAUUCGAGGAAGGACCGGCUAACUUCGUGCCAGCAGCCGCGGUAAUACGAGGGGUCCUAGCGUUGUUCGGAAUCAUUGGGCGUAAGGGUGUGUAGGUGGCCAUGUAAGUCAGGUGUGAAAGCCCCGGGCUCAACCCGGGAAGUGCACUUGAUACUGCGUGGCUUGAGUACCGAAGAGGGUAGUGGAAUUCCAGGUGUAGUGGUGAAAUACGUAGAUAUCUGGAGGAACACCGGUGGCGAAGGCGGCUACCUGGUCGAGUACUGACACUGAGACACGAAAGCAUGGGGAUCAAACAGGAUUAGAAACCCCGGUAGUCC